UACGGAAGGCAGCAGUGGGGAAUAUUGCACAAUGGGCGCAAGCCUGAUGCAGCCAUGCCGCGUGUAUGAAGAAGGCCUUCGGGUUGUAAAGUACUUUCAGUCGUGAAGGAAGGUGUUAAGGUUAUAACCUUAGCAAUUGACGUUAGCGACAGAAGAAGCACCGGCUAACUCCGUGCCAGGCAGCCGCGGUAAUACGGAGGGUGCGAGCGUUAAUCGGAAUUACUGGGCGUUAAAGGGCACGCAGGCGGUUAAUUAAGUUGGAUGUGAAAUCCCCGGGCUUAACCUGGGAAUGGCAUUCAAGACUGGUUAGCUAGAGUCUUGUAGAGGGGGUAGGAAUUCCGAUGUGUAGCGGUGAAAUGCGUAGAGAUGUGGAGGAAUACCGGUGGCGAAAGGCGGCCCCUGGACAAAGACUGACGCUCAUGUGCGAAAGCGUGGGGAGCAAAC
rnacentral:rRNA from 1 species